rnacentral:rRNA from 1 species
GAUAAACGCUGGCGGCGUGCAUAACACAUGCAAGUCGAACGAUGAAGAUUAAAAGAUUUCCUCGGAAUGAACUCAACUGGAUUAGUGGCGGACGGGUGAGUAACGCGUGAGUAACCUGCCUUGUACAAGGGGAUAGCCGUCGGAAACGACGAAUAAUACUCUAUGACAUCAAAUAAUCGCAUGAUAAUUUGAUCAAAGAUUUAUCGGUAUAAGAUGGACUCGCGUCUGAUUAGCUAGUUGGUAGAGUAAACGCCUACCAAGGCAACGAUCAGUAGCCGGCUUGAAAGAGUGUCCGGCAACAUUGCGAGUGGGACAAGGCCCAGACCCCUGCGAGAGGAAGCAAUGGGGACUGAUGCACAAUGGGGGAGACCCUGAUGCUGCGAGGCCGCAAGAUUGUGAAGGCCUUCGGGUUGUAAAAGUCUUUUGUAUGGGAAGAAAAUGACGGUACCAUACGAAUAAGGGCCGGCUAAUUACGUG